AUUGAACGCUGGCGGCAAGCCUAACACAUGCAAGUCGAACGAGUGGCGGACGGGUGAGUAAUGUCUGGGAAACUGCCUGAUGGAGGGGGAUAACUACUGGAAAAGGUAGCUAAUACCGCAUACCAUCGGAUGUGCCCAGAUGGGAUUAGCUAGUAGGUGGGGUAAACGCUCACCUAGGCCACUAUCCCUAGCUGGUCUGAGAGGAUGACCAGCCACACUGGAACUGAGACACGGGCCAGACUCCUACGGGAGGCAGCAGUGGGGAAUAUUGCACAAUGGGCGCAAGCCUGAUGCAGCCAUGCCGCGGGUAUGAAGAAGGCCUUAGGGUUGGAAAGUACUUUCAGCGGGGAGGCGUUACCCUCAGAAGAAGCACCGGCUAACUCCGUGCCAGCAGCCGCGGUAAUUC
rnacentral:rRNA from 1 species